UGGGUCCCUGGGGCCCAGAUCGUUUACCGUGAAAAAAUUAGAGUGUUCAAAGCAGGCAGAUCCAAUUUUCUGCCACCGAAUACAUUAGCAUGGGAUAAUGGAAUAGGACCCUGUCCUCCUAUUUUCAGUUGGUUUUGGCAGCGCGAGGACUAGGGUAAUGAUUAAUAGGGAUAGUUGGGGGCAUUAAUAUUUAAUUGUCAGAGGUGAAAUUCUUGGAUUUAUGAAAGAUUAACUUCUGCGAAAGCAUCUGCCAAGGAUGUUUUCAUUAAUCAAGAACGAAAGUUAGGGGAUCGAAGACGAUCAGAUACCGUCGUAGUAUUAACCAUAAACGAUGCCGACCAGCGAUUAGGAGACGUUGAAUACAAAACACCACCAUCGGCGCGGUCGUCCUUGGCGUCGGUCCUUCACGGGGCCGGCGCGAGGGCGGCUUAGCCCGGUGGCACCGGUGAAUGACUCCCCUA
rnacentral:rRNA from 1 species